UUGCGCAAUGGGCGAAAGCCUGACGCAGCAACGCCGCGUGAGGGAUGAAGGCCUUCGGGUUGUAAACCUCUUUUAUCAGGGAAGAAGCGAAAGUGACGGUACCUGAAGAAAAAGCACCGGCUAACUACGUGCCAGCAGCCGCGGUAAUACGUAGGGUGCAAGCGUUAUCCGGAAUUAUUGGGCGUAAAGAGCUCGUAGGCGGUUUGUCGCGUCUGCUGUGAAAAUCUGAGGCUCAACCUCGGACUUGCAGUGGGGUACGGGCAGACUAGAGUGCGGUAGGGGAGAAGGGAAUUCCUGGUGUAGCGGUGGAAUGCGCAGAUAUCAGGAGGAACACCAAUGGCGAAGGCACUUCUCUGGGCCGCUACUGACGCUGAGGAGCGAAAGCGUGGGGAGCGAACAGGAUUAGAUACCC
rnacentral:rRNA from 1 species